rnacentral:rRNA from 1 species
GAUGAACGCUGGCGGCGUGCCUAAUACAUGCAAGUCGAGCGAACUGAUUAGAAGCUUGCUUCUAUGACGUUAGCGGCGGACGGGUGAGUAACACGUGGGCAACCUGCCUGUAAGACUGGGAUAACUUCGGGAAACCGAAGCUAAUACCGGAUAGGAUCUUCUCCUUCAUGGGAGAUGAUUGAAAGAUGGUUUCGGCUAUCACUUACAGAUGGGCCCGCGGUGCAUUAGCUAGUUGGUGCGGUAACGGCUCACCAAGGCAACGAUGCAUAGCCGAGCGGAGAGGGUGAUCGGCCACACUGGGACUGAGACACGGCCCGGACUCCUACGGGAGGCAGCAGUAGGGAAUCGUCCGCAAUGGACGAAAGUCUGACGGUGCAACGCCGCGUGAGUGAUGAAGGCUUUCGGGUCGUAAAACUCUGUUGUUAGGGAAGAACAAGUACGAGAGUAACUGCUGGUACCUUGACGGUACCUAACCAGAAAGCCACGGCUAACUACGUGCCAGCCGCCGCAGUAAAAC